rnacentral:rRNA from 1 species
CACGUAGGUGGCGAGCGUUGUCCGGAUUUACUGGGCGUAAAGGGAGCGUAGGCGGACUUUUAAGUGAGAUGUGAAAUACCCGGGCUCAACUUGGGUGCUGCAUUUCAAACUGGAAGUCUAGAGUGCAGGAGAGGAGAAUGGAAUUCCUAGUGUAGCGGUGAAAUGCGUAGAGAUUAGGAAGAACACCAGUGGCGAAGGCGAUUCUCUGGACUGUAACUGACGCUGAGGCUCGAAAGCGUGGGGAGCAAACAGGAUUAGAUACCCCGGUA